rnacentral:rRNA from 1 species
ACGCUGGUGGCGUGCUUAACACAUGCAAGUCGAACGAGAAAGUUUCCUUCGGGGAAUUAGUAAAGUGGCGCAAGGGUGAGUAUCACGUGAAUAAUCUGCCCUCGAGAUCGGGAUAACAUGGUGAAAACUAUGCUAAUACCGGAUAAGACCACAUUUCAUAAGAAAUGCGGUAAAAGGAGUCUCAAUCUUCACUCGAGGAUGAGUUCGCGCAACAUUAGCUUGUUGGUGAGAUAAAAGCUCACCAAGGCUACGAUGUUUAGCCGGCCUGAGAGGGUGAACGGCCACACUGGAACUGAGACACGGUCCAGACUCCUACGGGAGGCAGCAGUGGGGAAUAUUGCGCAAUGGGCGAAAGCCUGACGCAGCAACGCCGUGUGAGCGAUGAAGGCUUUAGAGUCGUAAAGCUCUGUCAAAUGGGAAGAAUUCUGACGGUACCAUUAGAGGAAGCCCCGGCUAACUCCGUGCCAGCAGCCGCGGUAAUACGGAGGGGGCAAGCGUUGUUCGGAAUUAUUGGGCGUAAAGCGUAUGUAGGCGGCUAAGUAAGUCAGGCGUGCAAGCCCGUGGCUCAACCACGGAAUUGCGUUUGAAACUACUUAGCUUGAGUACAGGAGAGGAAGGCGGAAUUCCCAGUGUAGCGGUGAAAUGCAUUGAUAUUGGGAAGAACAUCUGUGGCGAAGGCGGCUUUCUGGUCUGUUACUGACGCUGAGAUACGAAAGCCAGGGUAGCGAACGGGAUUAGAUACCCCGGUAGUCCUGGCUGUAAACGAUGGGCACUAGGUGGAGGAGGUAUCGAUCCCCUCUCUGCCGUAGCUAACGCGUUAAGUGCCCCGCCUGGGGAGUACGGUCGCAAGCUGACCAUGAUAG